GAUGAACGCUAGCGGGAGGCCUAACACAUGCAAGCCGAGCGGUAGAGCCUCUUCGGGGCCUUGGGAGCGGCGCACGGGUGCGGAACACGUAUGCAACCUGCCUUUAUCUGGGGGAUAGCCUUUCGAAAGGAAGAUUAAUACCCCAUAAUAUACUGGAUGGCAUCAUCUGGGAUCGAAAACUCCGGUGGAUAGAGAUGGGCACGCGCAAGAUUAGAUAGUUGGUGAGGUAACGGCUCACCAAGUCAGCGAUCCUUAGGUGGCCUGAGAGGGUGAUCCCCCACACUGGUACUGAGGCCCAGACCAGACUGGGACGGGAGGCAGCGGUAAGGAAUAUUAGGCAAUGGGUGAGGGCCUGAUCCAGCCGCGCCGCGUGAAGGGCGACGGCCCUAGUGGUCGUAAACUUCUUUUGAAGAGGGAUAAACCUAGAUACGUGUAUCUAGCUGAAGGUACUAUACGAAUAAGCACCGGCUAACUCCGUG
rnacentral:rRNA from 1 species